UUCCGGUUGAUCCUGCCGGAGGUCACUGCUAUUGGGAUUCGACUAAGCCAUGCGAGUCGAGAGGGUUCGGCCCUCGGCAAACGGCUCAGUAACACGUGGAUAAUCUGCCCUUAGGUGGAGGAUAACCUCGGGAAACUGAGAAUAAUACUCCAUAGAUCUAGGAUGUUGGAAUGCACUUAGAUUGAAAGUUCCGGCGCCUAAGGAUGAGUCUGCGGACUAUCAGGUAGUAGUCAGGGUAAAGGCCUGACUAGCCUACGACGGAUACGGGUUGUGAGAGCAAUAACCCGGAGACGAUAUCUGAGACACGAUAUCGGGCCCUACGGGGCGCAGCAGGCGCGAAACCUUCACAAUGUGCGAAAGCGCGAUGAGGGGAUCCCAAGUGCUUGCUCGUAAGAGUAAGCUGUUUUUAUGUCUAAAACGCAUAGAGAGUAAGGGCUGGGUAAGACGGGUGCCAGCCGCCGCGGUAAUACCUGCAGCUCAAGUGGUGACCGCUAUUAUUGGGCCUAAAACAUUCGUAGCCGGUUUGGUAAAUGCCUGGGUAAAUCGUGUAGCUUAACUAUACGAAUUCCGGGUAGACUGCCAAACUUGAGACCGGGAGAAGCUAGAGGUACUCCUUGGGUAGAGGUGAAAUUCUGUAAUCCUAGGGGGACCACCAGUGGCGAAGGCGUCUAGCUAGAACGAGUUUGACGGUGAGGAAUGAAGCCCUGGGGCGCAAACCGGAUUAGAUACCCGGGUAGUCCAGGGUGUAAACGCUGCUUGCUUGAUGUUAGUUGGGCUCCGAGCCCAAUUAGUGUCGGAGAGAAGUUGUUAAGCAAGCUGCCUGGGAAGUACGAUCGCAAGAUUGAAACUUAAAGGAAUUGGCGGGGGAGCACAGCAACGGGUGGAGCGUGCGGUUUAAUUGGAUUCAACGCCGGA
rnacentral:rRNA from 1 species